GGAGGGGUCGCAUAGAGGUCGAGUGCAACGGUUUCUUAAACCGAUUUAGUCCUAUUAAGGCUCGUGGGUUCAAAUCCCACCCCCUCCG
rnacentral:tRNA from 1 species